AUGGCGUCUUCAUCUCUGUCAGUGGUGUUGCUCCUGUGCCUGGCUGCGGUGGCGUCGGCGCAGAUGUCCCCGACGUUCUACGACGCGUCGUGCCCCGGGGCGCUGGCCACCAUCAAGAACGGUGUGGUGGCCGCCGUGAGCAGCGACCCCCGCAUGGCUGCGUCGCUGCUCCGGCUGCACUUCCAUGACUGCUUUGUCCAAGGCUGCGACGCGUCCGUUCUGCUGGCUGGCAACGAGCGGAACGCGUUCGGGAACGUGGGAUCGCUGCGAGGCUUCGACGUCAUCGACCAAAUCAAGUCCAAUGUGGAGCAGGCGUGCAAGCGCACCGUCUCCUGCGCCGACAUCCUCGCCGUCGCCGCUCGCGAUUCCGUCGUCGCGGUAGGAGGGCCGUCAUGGACAGUCUCUCUGGGGAGGAGGGACUCCGACACGGCUAGCGAGACACUGGCCAACCGUGACCUGCCUGCCCCAUCACUUAGCGUCACCGAUCUCAUCACCCGCUUCGCCGCCAAGGGGCUCAACCACACCGAUAUGGUCGCCCUCUCUGGUGCGCACACCAUAGGGCAGGCGCAGUGCAAGAACUUCAGGACCAGGCUCUACAGCGAGGAGAACAUUGACCCGGCCUUGGCGACGUCGCGCAAGGCCACCUGCCCUCAGCUAACCGGCUCUGGCGACAGCAACUUGGCCCCAUUGGACGAUACGACCCCGGACAUGUUCGACAACGCCUACUUCGUCAACCUCAAGCUCAAUAAGGGGCUCCUACACUCCGACCAGGUGCUCUACACCCUUGCCGGUGGUGCCACCGAAGACAUCAUUGACGGCUUCGCAUCUAACCAGGAUGCGUUCAACAACGCCUUUGCCGCAGCCAUGGUGAAGAUGGGGAACAUUAGCCCCUUGAUUUUCCCACAGGGUCAGGUCAGGCGCAUCUGCUCCAGGGCGAACUAA
rnacentral:rRNA from 1 species